GACGAACGCUGGCGGCGUGCUUAACACAUGCAAGUCGAACGGAAAGGCCCUGCUUUUGUGGGGUGCUCGAGUGGCGAACGGGUGAGUAACACGUGAGUAACCUGUCCUUGACUUUGGGAUUACUUCAGGAAACUGGGGCUAAUACCGGAUAGGAGCUCCUGCUGCAUGGUGGGGGUUGGAAAGUUUCGGCGGUUGGGGAUGGACUCGCGGCUUAUCAGCUUGUUGGUGGGGUAGUGGCUUACCAAGGCUUUGACGGGUAGCCGGCCUGAGAGGGUGACCGGCCACAAUGGGACUGAGAUAGGGCCCAGACUCCUACGGGAGGCAGCAGUGGGGAGUAUUGCACAGUGGGCGGAAGCCUGAUGCAGCAACGCCGCGUGCGGAAUGACGGCCUUCGGGUUGUAAACCGCUUUCGCCUGUGACGAAGCGUGAGUGACGGUAAUGGGUAAAGAAGCACCGGCUAACUACGUG
rnacentral:rRNA from 1 species